GGUGGAUUGGCUAUACUUUCUUGCCUUUGCACUGGUGGCCAUUGGCUUAAUUACUUACUCCAUGACUGAGACUGAGGAGGAUUCACACACUAAGACAGAAUCGAACGGUGAGAAUCCGAGUGUUGCAGAGAGCCAGCAACAGCAACCACUACUGUCAGCGUGAGAAUGUAAUAUCAAAGACUGAAUGUUCAGUUCCAUCAUCAAUCUACAGAGUUUCGAGACUAUAUAUGCAAGUAGUUUCGAUCGUAUUGUAAAUAACAGACACAUAUAUAACUGUAUAAGAAAAAACAUGAUCAGAGUGUUAUAGACACUCAUUGUCCAUCGAUGAAAAUUUUUACCAGAUUGCGGGGUUUGUGAUC
rnacentral:lncRNA from 1 species